GACGUAGGGGGCAAGCGUUUGUCCGGAUUUAUUGGGCGUAAAGAGCUCGUAGGCGGCUCAGAAAGUCGGGUGUGAAACCUCCAGGCUCAACCUGGAGACGCCACCUGAUACUGCUGUGGCUAGAGUCCGGUAGGGGAGCACGGAAUUCCCGGUGUAGCGGUGAAAUGCUUAGAUAUCGGGAGGAACACCAGUGGCGAAGGCGGUGCUCUGGGCCGGAACUGACGCUGAGGAGCGAAAGCGUGGGUAGCAAACAGG
rnacentral:rRNA from 1 species